CCGGGCUAACUUCCGGGCCCAGCAGCCGGCGGUAAUACGGAAGGGUGCGGAGCGUUAAUCGGAAUUUACUGGACGUAAAGCGCAUGCAAGGUGGUUUGUUAAGUCAGAUGUGAAAGCCCGGGGCUCAAACUUCGGAAUUGCAUUUGAAACUGGCAAACUAGAGUACUGUAGAGGGGGGUAGAAUUUCAGGUGUAGCGGUGAAAUGCGUAGAGAUCUGAAGGAAUACCGGUGGCGAAGGCGGCCCCCUGGACAGAUACUGACACUCAGAUGCGAAAGCGUGGGGAGCAAACAGGAUUAGAUACCCUGGUAGUCCACGCCGUAAACGAUGUCUACUUGGAGGUUGUGGCCUUGAGCCGUGGCUUUCGGAGCUAACGCGUUAAGUAGACCGCCUGGGGAGUACGGUCGCAAGAUUAAAACUCAAAUGAAUUGACGGGGGCCCGCACAAGCGGUGGAGCAUGUGGUUUAAUUCGAUGCAACGCGAAGAACCUUACCUACUCUUGACAUCUACAGAAGCCAGCGGAGACGCAGGUGUGCCUUCGGGAACUGUAAGACAGGUGCUGCAUGGCUGUCGUCAGCUCGUGUUGUGAAAUGUUGGGUUAAGUCCCGCAACGAGCGCAACCCUUAUCCUUGUUUGCCAGCACUUCGGGUGGGAACUCCAGGGAGACUGCCGGUGAUAAACCGGAGGGAGGUGGGGACGACGUCAAGUCAUCAUGGCCCUUACGAGUAGGGCUACACACGUGCUACAAUGGCGCAUACAGAGGGCGGCCAACUUGCGAAAGUGAGCGAAUCCCAAAAAGUGCGUCGUAGUCCGGAUUGGAGUCUGCAACUCGACUCCAUGAAGUCGGAAUCGCUAGUAAUCGUGGAUCAGAAUGCCACGGUGAAUACGUUCCCGGGCCUUGUACACACCGCCCGUCACACCAUGGGAGUGGGCUGCAAAAGAAGUGGGUAGUUUAACCUUCGGGAGGACGCUCACCACUUUGUGGUUCAUGACUGGGGUGAAGUCGUAACAAGGUAACCG
rnacentral:rRNA from 1 species